GGCCGCCUGGCGAAAUGGCAUCGCGUCUGUCUACGAUCAACACAAAAAAACCUUCCAAGACGUAUCAGGAGAUUGCAGGUUCGCCCCCUGCGGUGGUCA